rnacentral:tRNA from 1 species
GGGGAUUUGGCUUAGCUGCUUAAGCACUUGCCUGGUAAGCGUGAGUUUGUGAGUAAAAUCCCCA